UUUUUGACGCAGGUGAAACCAGUUAUUCCUGCCAUAAUGCUGGAAGUUACUUCCUGUGUUACAGGCAAUAGGACCCAAUCUGAGCCUUGUAUUCUUUGAUCAUAUGCUGCCCGUGUGCAGUCUGGUGGCAUCCUGUUAUUUAUCCGCAGGAAGUGAAUGGUGAGAGUACAUCUGUCAGGCUCGUAGCAGAUGGAAGCAUGUAAUGGGCUUCACCUGAAUAAAAAUAAAGUCUGGAAAAGGAACAAGAUCAGAAAAAAACAAAAUUUCAGAACCUGAAGUUCAGGCUCGCCCCGAGCUGGAUGGAGACGCCAAUGGGACAGUGACUGAAACAGAGGCUCGGGCCAUCUUGGGAGGUGCUGUAGGAGUUGACCUCAGAACAUUUCAGGACAAUGUUUGGCACAUCAUUAAAGACAAGUAUAUGCGCGACCCUGUGCAGAUGCCAGACUUCGAUGAGACGACACAAGCUCUCAUUGAUGCUGCUGAGGAGACCAGAGAUGACUACCGGCUGACAGAGAUGCACCUGCAUCAGAAAAGUUGAGGAGGAGCUUUCAAUGGAUUUUGGACCACACGACAAGUUUUCAUGCACACGUGUGGGUUCCUGGGCUGGCUCUGAAGAGAACAAGUACAGCAUGGUGAAGUUUGAGGAUGGCGCCCCCUGUUGGCAGGGACUUUAUCGCUCAGUACAGGUAAAGCUGGUGCCUAGCUGCUGUGAGAUUGUUUGAGCUGCAAACACCUGCGGCCAGCAACCAGCCUCCGCCAGCCCUAAAACAUGAGGAGCUCUAGCAGGGUGACAGAACCAGGGAGUCACUCCAAGUCAGAGGGGCCUGCUGAUCAGCCAGCAAGCCUCAUGUGACGGGACACUGUCCAGAAUGGGGCUUGUUGGAACUGAGACGAGGACCUCUUGCACAGAGCGUGGAGGAUCUCAGUUGCACUUUGCAUAUUUUAAUUCAGCGUGACAGAUGGUGGCAAGUGGGCGUUGCACAUUAAUGUUCGCAACAGAUUUCCGGAUCCUAAAGAAGUUAAUUACUAAACACCAUGUUUUCAAAUGAGAAAGAAAAAAAAGACACACACAGAUCAGCAGAAUGCAUAUCUCCUUGCACCCUUUUGAAAAGACUUUAAAAAGUUAAAUAAAGCAAUGUUUCAGAUAGAAAUAACCAGCCCGCUGUGUUUUUAAUAAUGUUGAGUAUUGAUGACAUGUGUAAGCCAGCAUGGUUUCUGGAUUUGUACUUGGGUAAAAAGGCCAGCUGGAGUAAAUGUGCGCAUGCGUGUGGAUUAUUUCAUGUUGUAGGUCUUUUUAAAGGCUCUGAACUUUCUGCUAAAAUAUGUGGGAUCUCCUAAAGGAAGUGUAUCCAUGGAAGUGCCUUAUUCUAGUCCAGUUACCUUUUGUCUAACUCUUAAAACACAAUGACAUCAUGAAUGCUGAUAGCUAAAUUAUUAUUAUUAUUAUUAUUAUUAUUAUUAUUAUUAUUAACACUAUCUCAGGCUCUGUUGAAGAUGCUUCCAGGACCACAAUACUGUAAGUGCAACAUGGUGAAGAUACAUGAUUAUGUUGUUGAUCUUUCUUAUGUCCCAAGUCUGCUGUCCUAAAGAAGGUGUAAUAGAAGAUCUGUGGUUAGCAGAUGAGCUCUCCAUCUGGCGAGGAAGCAGAAAACAAAACUAGUUCCAUAAGAAAUGCAAGCCCCUUCAUCUUUUAAGACCACUACAGUUUUAAUAGAGGUGUACUGCCCAGACCAAGAGACAGACAGACACAUUGAAAAUGUGAAUUACAGUAACAUUGUGCGCUGUAGAAGCUAAACUGCUGAGUAGAUGUCCUGAUUGCUGGUGUUUGCAGUUUUUAUGUAGUUAUUACUCAGUUGUUUUUUUUGGGUACGUGGCUUGAAUCUCUCCGUUUUGAAAACACAUAGCCUUAGCCUGUGCAUCCUUUAAAAAAAUUGAUAAUCAAUAAAUCUGAAUGUUUGUUUUAAACACUUGUACAGAUGAUUAAUGCUUGUGCUGAUAAUCUGCAAGCUGAGGAGGGCGUAGUAAUACCUGACACUGUGUGUGUACAGUAUGUGUGUGACACAUGCUCACAAGGAGUACACCACAACUCUCAACACCUCAUUUUAUUGUCCCGACAUUCAAAAGUACAAAUAAUUCAAACACAACAGUUUUAUGAAAAAACAUUUACAGCAAGGUUUUUUUUUUUUUUUCCAUUUUUUGUUUCCAGUUUCAGAAAUGAUCUAAACUAGCAAGGAUAACAUGAAGUCAUUCAUCGCAGUAAUUAGAUUAAUAAUAAGAUUAACUCAAGUCGGACAGAACUGUCUGGUCCAGUGAAAGGUUUUCUAGUUUCUCAGAUAUUAAACAAACACAUUUCAGAAGAAAAUGAAAAUGACAAGAGCCGCCCUCCCCCAACCCCUCUGACACACACACAUAAACACUAGCGAUUCAGAUUCUGCAGGUGGGUAACCCUGAACCACACUGUAAUAUUAAUAUACUGUAGCAUUUUAAAAGCACUGCUGGUACGUGAUGCAGUCCCAUAUAUUUCAAAGCAUCUGUUAGUGAUCUACACACAGGCACAUGGAUAGAAUGGAUACACUGGUCUAUCCGCUAUGAGGUAUGCACUUUCACUGAAGAUGCUUGACACAACAUGUUUAAUUUGCUGCAGGAGCCACAACAGCUUCCUCAGUGCUCCUGGUCAGGUGACUACUAAACAAAACAAUAUCAUACAUUUCAAUAUUCACCUGGGAUAAAGGGCUCAAAAUAAUAAACGAAUCCUAAAGUCUUAUUUCCGAAUCCCAAUUUGUACUUACUGACAAGUAUAACCAUUUUUUAAAUCUUAAAAAAAAAAAAAAGUGUAUUGUUGUUCCAGUGUAUUGUUAUCCUGAUUAGUUUUUAUAUACUAAUUAUAUUAAUUUAAACUGGCCUGCAACACCAUUACAGUACUUUUUAAACAAUCUUCAAAACUAGUCUGUCCACUACAUCGAGGAUGAAAACUGCCAUGUAACCAAAUGAGUUUCCUUCUCUUCUUCUCUUGUGAGCUUAAGUGUGGUGUGAAGGGGAAGAGGAAGAGAGGAGUAGCAUUAAAAUACACCAACUUAGCACAGGUUAUAUUGAACCAGAACAACUGUUAACAUUCUAGUAAGACUAAACUUUAUUGAAAAAGAUUGAAAGAUUUUAACAAGACAAAAAAGCAAUAGCAAAUUCAACUAUCAACUAGGUUAUGCAUAGCGAGUAACAGCUUCUAGUAACCAGGGAAGAGUGCCACCAACCCUCUCCACCUUUUUUUUUCAAUCAUUUUAAAUGUUUAUUUUGUUAUAUUGGUACAAAGCACAAAUGUACUAAAAGUUUUCAGUGCACUGGACUAAAGGGAGACCUCCCCCUCCAGUCGAUUUGUUCCCUUUAGCUCGUAAACAUCCCCCCCUCCCAUACCAGAAUCACGCAAAACACAGACGACAGAAAAAAUAAAUAAAAUAAAUCAAUCAAUCUAUAAAUAAAUAGCUUUAUUCGGGUUCUUCCGCGGCGGUAGGAAAUAUAAACCCCAAAAAUAUUCACAAGCGACGUGACAACAUAUUAAACGAGAUUCUCACAAGGUUUCUAAGUAACUUAAUAAAUCACUUUUAAAGUUUUCAUAUGAAAAGACAAGCUAAAACAUAAACCAGUGACUUAUUUUAAAUAUAUAUAUAUAUAUAUAUAUAU